rnacentral:tRNA from 1 species
AGAAAAAUUUCUUCUUCUCAGGAA